CACUACUAAACCUAACUCCAAAAUCUCUUCCAUACCCAUCAACCACAUCCAACAGACUUUGCAGCUCCUCUGCUGACUCACUCAUAACCACUACGUCAUCUGCAUAAAGGAAUAUAGAAUCCUUGACCUUGAUCAACCCGGGCAACACCACUAUCAUCAUCAGCAAAUAUCCGUGUUUACUCCACUCAGCUGUCUAGUGCGUGACGGAGGGGGAUAGACAUUGUGGUAUAAGCUUAGCAGUGACAGCUCAAGGGCCCUACUAGUGACGCCUCAAGAAGGCAGGCACACUGGAUUGGCGAACAUAACGUUGUGCAUUGAGUGACAAUAAACCAGUGUCAGCGGCGACUGUCACUCACCAUUGGUCGGCUACAUUCCGCGGGAAGCAAGGUUUCUAUAUUGGCGGGGAGUCACCUGCCAUCCCAUAGGUUGGCCAGCAAAGUCGAGUCCUGCCCAGAGGCAAGAAGGUCUGGUUGGGCGUACAUAGCUGGUGGUCUAGGGAAGCUUGUCAGCACUUUGGUGAUGGCUGCCUUAAGGAGUUUGCUUUUAGUUCAAGAAGGUUGCAGUUUCAGACUCAAUGGCAUCAGUGAGCCCAGAAGAAACUGUUGAAAAUGACUCGAUGCCUAAAAACAUGGCUGCAGAGAGCAAGCUAUACAUGGAUGUGGGAGAUGACAGUGUCUCACUAAUAUAUCGAGAUGAGUAUAACAUCCACCUUCUUGGAAUGGAGAAGCUUCAUCCCUUUGAUGCCUGUAAAUGGGGAAAUGUUGUGAAGCAUCUGAAGAAGAAGCAGUGGACAAAGGAAUUAAAGGUGGUGACUCCAAAUGAAGCAACAGAAAGUGACCUGAGACUGGUGCACUCGGCAUCUUACUUACGUAGCCUCAAGUGGAGUAUAAAUGUGGCAAAAAUAACAGAGGUGGCACCAGCUGCCCUUGUACCUAAUAUUUUCCUGCAGAAGAGAGUCUUGAAGCCAUUCAGGUACCAAACAGGUGGCAGUGUGCUGGCUGGGAAGUUGGCCAUGGAGCGUGGCUGGGCCAUCAAUAUUGGAGGCGGCUUUCACCACUGCUGGGGGAAUGAGGGUGGCGGGUUCUGUGCCUAUGCAGAUAUUUCCCUCACCAUCCAUUUCGUUCUCAACAAUUACCCCUCAGUGGAGCGUGUUAUGAUCAUAGACCUUGAUGCUCAUCAGGGGAAUGGCCAUGAAAGAGACUUCAUGGGCAGGAAAGACAUCUAUAUUCUUGACGUAUACAACAAGUAUAUUUACCCCAAUGAUUCAUAUGCCAAGAAAGCCAUUCGUCGCAGGGUGGAGCUCUUUGCUUACACCCAGGACGAAGAGUACCUAGAGAAAGUCAGCACGCAUGUUGAGGGUGCCCUGAAUGAAUUCAGCCCACAGAUGGUGAUCUACAAUGCUGGGACAGACAUUAUGGAGGGAGACAGUCUAGGUCUUCUCUCAGUCACAAAGCAGGGCAUCAUUGAGAGGGAUGAGAUUGUAUUCCGCAAAGUGACCCACCGACAAGUGCCCAUCGUCAUGCUUACCAGUGGAGGCUACCAGCGCUCCACAGCUGCUGUUAUUGCCGACUCCAUAUGGAAUCUCAGUAAAAAAUCUCUAAUUAAUAUGUGAUCACUGCAUGGUGGCCUUCAGUCUUUUAACAGAAAUAGUGUGUGUGUGUGUGUAUGUGUGUGUGUGUGUGUGUGUGUGUGUGUGUGUGUGUGUGUGUGUGUGUGUGUGUGUGUUUCUGUUUGUAUGUGUGUGAGUGAGUGAUUGCAUGAGUGAGAGAUAUUCACAUCAUUGUUGCACUCAUGAUUGAUUUUUACUGUGUUGUUUUGAAUGUAUUUUCGCACAGACAUACAAGUCCUCUAAGUCCCAGUGCAUAUGGUGCAUCCUUUAAAAAUGAAGGCUGUCAUUUUCACUGUCUUGGUGUCAAAUCUGAGCAAGAGCACCAUAAAUAGCAAGGUUUCCUCUCCCAAAAUAGCAGUCUGUUUUCAUUGCCUCAAAGGAUGGUCACACCCUUUCUGUCAUCCCAGGGGUGUACAGGUAGGUGCUCCUGGAAUAGACAGGGGAAGACUCAUCUAUCAAAUUACAGUGAACAGAUCGUAGUGAUAGGCAACUGAGUUUUGUGAAAUAUAUAUAUAUAU
rnacentral:misc_RNA from 1 species